GGAGCAUGUGGCUUAAUUUGACUCAACGCGGGAAAUCUUACCGGGUCCGGACACACUGAGGAUUGACAGGCAAUAUUAUAACGCACUCCCUUCGUGGUGCUGUGUUAUAUGUUAAAUAUGCUAGUCCUUUCAUGAUUAUGUGAUAGGUGGUGCAUGGCCGUUCUUAGUUCGUGGAGUGAUCUGUCUGCUUAAUUGCGUUUCACUAAGAACCUAUACAUUUACGUGUGUUGCAGCACUUUGACCCCUUACACUCGUGUAAGCUGCGUGUCUUAGUUUUUGCUUGCUCGCACAAUUAGGUUCUGAAAGCAACGAACGUGACCGCAACCUCUUGUUGCCUUUUAAUACCAAACAUCGCACCUCGCGUGCGUUGCAAAAAGGCUUUUUAAACUAGAGGGACCGCUGUUACUUUCUUAAACCAGAGGAAGGUUGCGGCAAUAACAGGUCUGUGAUGC
rnacentral:rRNA from 1 species